AGCGACCCACCUGGACGGUCGCUGCAGCCGGGGUCGCUAAAAGUUUUAGCGACCCACCUCUGUAUUAGCGACAGACUGUGAGUUGCUAUUGAGAACUAUAUAGCGACCCACUGUGGGAUUGUAUAGAGUACAUUAGCAACCAACUAAAGGUCAGUGAUUCCUGACACCAGCAUAUAAGUAAUAGUAUUAAUUAUCGCUAUUGACAAUAAUUAUUAGUAUUAAUAGGAAUUAUUAGUAUCAAUGUUGACCAUCACAAAUACAAUAUCACUUGAUUAUAUUGAGUACUAAAUGGUCCAUUCCAUCACAAAUUGUCAUAAGUCAUGAGCUAAACAAUAACUAGAUUAGCUUACAAUAUCAAUCGUCAUAAGCUGUGCAUUAGCUAAACAGUAGCUAGAUUUAGUUACAAAAGAGCUGUUUGCAUUCUUGCAAAUAUAUCAUUGCAUUCAUCAUGCACAGUAUCAUUCACAAAACAACUAGCUAGCUAGCAGCUUGCACAUAUAUUUCUUGCCGCUCACAAAAAGGAAGCUCCUGCCAUGAGUUGCGAGCUUCCAGCUGAACCUGCCCUGUGAUUGACUUGAUCAUGUCCCAACAUGCCCUGUGAAGUAAUUACAAGACUCCAAGUUACCACAUGGCUAGAAAAAUAACCAGAAAUAUAUGCACUUUGUUACACUAUCAUCAAUACUAAAUAUUAUGCACUGUCAGGAUAAAUAUUCUGCAAAAUCACUUCAAUCUAGGAUAGAAAGAGCCCCAGAAAAUAAUAUGCACUGGCAGUAUUUGGCAGAAAUGAGUCACAAGUUUGAAGAGGGAGGACAAGAAAAUACUAUACAUUGGCAGUUUCCAUAUACUAGCUAAUUAAUCAACUUGGAUUGUGAGAAUGACUUAUUCUUUGAUCAUAUAACAUGAAGAGUUAAUAGCACCAGUUUUACAGAAAUGAGGUCCACAAAACCAAUGGAACCAUAUCUGACCACAUGUUCAGCUACCAUUUUUUGCAAUGUACUUCCUAGUUACUACUAAAUUACAGAAGGAAAAAAAAUCUCAGAUAUUGUAUCAGGUUUUAACCAAAACCAAAUGAUGACAAUCACGAAAAAAAUAACUCCAAGUAUAUGUGCUUUCUGUCCUCAUUCUUGCCAAAAAAAUAACGUGCAGAUCACAAUCACGAAUGGGAGAAGCAUGCACUACAACCAGAAAAAAUAACAGCAAAUCACAAUCAUGAAAGGGAGAAGCAUGCACUACAACCAAAGACACCACCAGAAACACCACCAGCAAGUAUAUGUGCUUUCUACCUAAUCUGAACUAGAUCAACCUGCAGAAGAACAAGCAAUCGGCAUCAUGCUAGCAUCAGCCAAAGUCUCCAUACCAUCAUAUGGACGAGGAAGAAUUGUAUCCCUUUUCAACACACAAGUCACAAUGACCUCACAAUAUUGCCUACCAAUGGGCUGACCUCCAAGUUUGAUGCUUGGUUUAGUUCCAAUAAUUAUUCCUUUAGCCACAGCUUGAUCAGAUCUCAACAAGGCAUACAAAAUGACUUCCUUUCCAACCUAAUACAAAUGAGUGAGAAUGGAAUUCAAAGUACUGCAGGGUAAUAAAAUGGCAAGUUGAAAAUAUAAGAUAAAAGUAUUACUAGAGCAUCAUGGUCAGAGCGGGGAGCAUCAGCAGGCUGUGAUGUUGCUGUCGCAAUGUGUCCUGCAGGCCGUGAUGUUGCUGUCGCGAUGUGUCCUGCAGGCCGUGAUGUUGCUGUCGCGAUGUGUCCUGCAGGCCGUGAUGUUGCUGUCGCAAUGUGUCCUGCAGGCCGUGAUGUUCCUGUUGCAAUGUCACCUGCAGGUUGUGAUGAUUUUGCCCCUUGGAUCUGAUCCAAGAAAUUCUGGUCAUCCUCAGCAUCCAAGUAGUCAUCUCCAGAAGUACGGUCUUCCUCGCCUUGAUUGUCCUCAUCAUCCUUUGUAUUCUACAUAGAAAGUCUCAAUAAUGGAUG